GUCUUUUUGAAUUAAAUUUAAAGUCUAACCUGCCCACUGAAAAUUUAAAUGGCCGCAGUAUUCUAACUGUGCAAAGGUAGCAUAAUCAUUAGUCUUUUAAUUGAAGGCUGGAAUGAAUGGUUGGACGAAAUAUUAACUGUUUCAUUUAAAUUUUUUAUAGAAUUUUAUUUUUUAGUCAAAAAGCUAAAAUAAAUUUAAAAGACGAGAAGACCCUAUAAAUCUUUAUAUUUUAUUUAUUUUAAUUAUAAAGAUUAUUUUUGUUAUAAUAAAUAAAAAUAUUUUAUUGGGGUGAUAUUAAAAUUUAAAAAACUUUUAAUUUUAAAAAUCCAUUAAUUUAUGAAUAAUUGAUCCAUUAAUAAUGAUUAAAAAUUUAAGUUACUUUAGGGAUAACAGCGUAAUUUUUUUGGAGAGUUCAUAUCGAUAAAAAAGAUUGCGACCUCGAUGUUGGAUUAAGAUAUAAUUUUGGGUGUAGCCGUUCAAAUUUUAAGUCUGUUCGACUUUUAAAUUCUU
rnacentral:rRNA from 1 species